GAACGGUAACAGGAAACAGCUUGCUGUUUCGCUGACGAGUGGCGGACGGGUGAGUAAUGUCUGGGAAACUGCCUGAUGGAGGGGGAUAACUACUGGAAACGGUAGCUAAUACCGCAUAACGUCGCAAGACCAAAGAGGGGGACCUUCGGGCCUCUUGCCAUCGGAUGUGCCCAGAUGGGAUUAGCUUGUUGGUGGGGUAACGGCUCACCAAGGCGACGAUCCCUAGCUGGUCUGAGAGGAUGACCAGCCACACUGGAACUGAGACACGGUCCAGACUCCUACGGGAGGCAGCAGUGGGGAAUAUUGCACAAUGGGCGCAAGCCUGAUGCAGCCAUGCCGCGUGUAUGAAGAAGGCCUUCGGGUUGUAAAGUACUUUCAGCGGGGAGGAAGGGAGUAAAGUUAAUACCUUUGCUCAUUGACGUUACCCGCAGAAGAAGCACCGGCUAACUCCGUGCCAGCAGCCGCGGUAAUACGGAGGGUGCAAGCGUUAAUCGGAAUUACUGGGCGUAAAGCGCACGCAGGCGGUUUGUUAAGUCAGAUGUGAAAUCCCCGGGCUCAACCUGGGAACUGCAUCUGAUACUGGCAAGCUUGAGUCUCGUAGAGGGGGGUAGAAUUCCAGGUGUAGCGGUGAAAUGCGUAGAGAUCUGGAGGAAUACCGGUGGCGAAGGCGGCCCCCUGGACGAAGACUGACGCUCAGGUGCGAAAGCGUGGGGAGCAAACAGGAUUAGAUACCCUGAUAGUCCACGCCGUAAACGAUGUCGACUUGGAGGUUGUGCCCUUGAGGCGUAGCUUCCGGAGCUAACGCGUUAAGUCGACCGCCUGGGGAGUACGGCCGCAAGGUUAA
rnacentral:rRNA from 1 species